rnacentral:tRNA from 1 species
GCCAGUGUAGCUUAACUUAAAGCAUAACACUGUAACACUGGAAAUGUUAAAAUGGGGCCUAGAAACCCCCACAAGCA